GACGAACGCUGGCGGCGUGCCUAAUACAUGCAAGUUGAGCGGACAGAAGGGAGCUUGCUCCCGGAAGUUAGCGGCGGACGGGUGAGUAACACGUGGGCAACCUACCCUGUAGAUCGGGAUAACAUCGAGAAAUCGGUGCUAAUACCGGAUAAUCAUUUGAAGUGCAUGCUUCGAAUGUAAAAGAUGGCUCCGGCUAUCACUACGGGAUGGGCCCGCGGCGCAUUAGCUGGUUGGUAAGGUAAUGGCUUACCAAGGCAACGAUGCGUAGCCGACCUGAGAGGGUGAUAGGCCACACUGGGACUGAGACACGGCCCAGACUCCUACGGGAGGCAGCAGUAGGGAAUCUUCCGCAAUGGACGAAAGUCUGACGGAGCAACGCCGCGUGAGUGAUGAAGGUUUUCGGAUCGUAAAGCUCUGUUGUUAGGGAAGAACAAGUGCCGUUUGAAUAAGGCGGCACCUUGACGGUACCUAACCAGAAAGCCACGGCUAACUACGUGCCAGCCGCCGCCGUAAAAC
rnacentral:rRNA from 1 species